CUGGGGACCCCCAGUUUUGGCCCUGGGGACCCCCAGGGGCUCACGUCCCCAUCUCUCCCGCAGGGACCGAGGGGCGAGCGGGGGCUCCCGGGCAGCUCUGGUGAGAAGGGCGACCAGGGUUUCCAGGGCCAGCCCGGCUUCCCGGGGCCGCCUGGCCCCCCCGGCUUCCCGGGGAAGGUCGGCCCGGCCGGGCCCCCGGGACCUGCGGCCGAGAAGGUGAGUGCAUGGGGACGGGGACAGCGGUGGCACCGCUGGCUGGGGUCAGCUCGGGCCCCCCCCGACCCUCCUGUGGC
rnacentral:lncRNA from 1 species